rnacentral:rRNA from 1 species
CCUACGGGUGGCAGCAGUGAGGAAUAUUGGUCAAUGGGCGCGAGCCUGAACCAGCCAAGUAGCGUGAAGGAUGACUGCCCUACGGGUUGUAAACUUCUUUUAUAAAGGAAUAAAGUGAGGCACGUGUGCCAUUUUGUAUGUACUUUAUGCAUACGGAUCGGAAAACUCCGUGCCAGCAGCCGUGGUAAUCCGGAGGCUCCGAGGGUUAUCCGGAUUUAUUGGGGUAAAGGGGUGCGUGGGCGGAAGGUUAAGCCAGUGGUCAAAUGGCGGUGCUCAACACCGGCCUGCCGUUGAAACUGGUCGUCUUGAGUGAGCGAGAAGUAUGCGGAAUGCGUGGUGUAGCAGUGAAAUGCAUAGAUAUCACGCAGAACACCGAUUGCGAAGGCAGCAUACCGGAGCGCAACUGACGCUGAGGCACGAAAGCGUGGGGAGCGAACAGGAUUAGAUACCCCAGUAGUC